rnacentral:precursor_RNA from 1 species
GGCUUGAGGACCGUAUUCAUGGAAGAGGAUUGAACAGAGAUGAAGUAGACAGUAUGUUGGAUAAAUCUGGAGUAAAGAACCCAGCAAUUGGUAAAGAUGAGAAUAUAUCGCCUCAAGUAAAAGGAGAUGAAGACAUGGGAGAUGAAAUUGACAGUAUGUUGGCUACAUCUGGAGGUCUUUUCUCCUGAGAACACGGGACUCCAGCAUCUUCGGAUUCUGCUCUUGGAGGGGUUGCCCCACAUCCUCUAUAUUGCAGAAAACAAGACUAGGCUCUACCUCUGUAGAUCAAGCACGACUGAAUCCGUGCUCUCAAAAGAUGCUGGGGAGAAAGAGUGCCAUUCUUCACAAAUGCUGACUUGGAUAUUAAACAAAGUCAAAGAAGUAUCCUAGCCAUCAACAGUCAACCCAAACUGUUGGAAGAAGGAUAUGUUCUGCUGUCUCUCCCAAUGACACAACUAUGAAAUAUAAACUCUGAUCAGGAUGGAACUUAUGAUCAUCACUGGAACAUCUCCACUAUAUAAGUACCAGGAUCUUUUACCUUGGACAGAAGUGUAUAUGGCACUUCACAGUCUGCCUCAAGGAGAUUCUGUCCUCUUCUUGCAGCAGGGCCUAUGUGUGCAGCUGAACAGAGCGUUGAGGAAACGUCAGUGAUUUUAUAACUACUUAUCAUGUUGGGAGAUUGUUGUGAUGAUUGCCUGGACUCUCAGAUGUUACACAGGCUGCAUCAUUGGACUGAAAGUGAAUGGCCCAUGUGUUGCCACUGAUGUGAGCCAUUAAGCC